GCAAGUCUGGUGCCAGCAGCCGCGGUAAUUCCAGCUCCAAUAGCGUAUAUUAAAGUUGUUGUGGUUAAAAAGCUCGUAGUUGAACCUUGGGCCUGGCUGGCCGGUCCGCCUCACCGCGUGUACUGGUCCGGCCGGGCCUUUCCCUCUGUGGAACCCCAUGCCCUUCACUGGGUGUGGCGGGGAAACAGGACUUUUACUUUGAAAAAAUUAGAGUGCUCCAGGCAGGCCUAUGCUCGAAUACAUUAGCAUGGAAUAAUAGAAUAGGACGUGUGGUUCUAUUUUGUUGGUUUCUAGGACCGCCGUAAUGAUUAAUAGGGAUAGUCGGGGGCAUCAGUAUUCAAUUGUCAGAGGUGAAAUUCUUGGAUUUAUUGAAGACUAACUACUGCGAAAGCAUUUGCCAA
rnacentral:rRNA from 1 species